rnacentral:lncRNA from 1 species
AGCGAGAUCUGAAAUAGAGAGAGAAAGAGAUACGAGAUGUGGGGAAGAGUGGCUGAGAUUUGAGAGAGAUCGUGAGCGAGGGUGAGAGGGAAACCCACAUCUGAGUUGUGUGCCCCGGGGGGUUUUGUGGCCGCCGGCUACCGCGCCUGAGUCUAACCGACGACCCGCCGCCGCCGCCGGGCAAGCUCGGGGCUCUAUUUCUUGCCCUUUUUCGAGCAUACGGGGUCGGAGCUCGCGGCUGUCCAACUUGCGUGAGCUCCGGCCCCGACCGAUCUUCAUUAGGUUGCUCCGGCCGUCGCCCGUCGCUCAGCUUCCCUCCCGGUGUUGUUGGGAACCUCGGUUGGUUCGCGUCCUCCAGGUGUUUGAUGAAAUUCCCGAGAGAGUUUGGUGGCCGCGAACGAAAUUUACAGUGACCGGCGACGAUGGAUGGUGGCGGUGGCGGUGGCUGGUCGGAAGGAGGCUGAACUCAGCCUGGGUGUGCGAGGCGGCGCCGCGGCCGAGCAACGCCGUACACCUCAGCCCUCUCAGCCGCGGCCGCGUGAGAGCACGUAUGGAGUCGGGUCGCGUGAGUCGGGCCGGCCGGGUCGGCGUGAGACCCGGUUGGCUUUUGGUUCUGGGCUAGGGCUUUUCGCUUUAAUGGGCUGGACUUUGUUUAAUGUGAAUCGUGGGCCGGGCAUUUCUUUUAAUUGAAAGUGGGCUCAACUUUGUUUUAAUAUUUUGCGAUUGGACUGGGCCUGUGAUUUAGGCCCAGAUUGGUCGCGGCUGGGCGACCCGGAUCGGGACCGACCCCGGAGAUUCGACCCGGGUCGGUUCCUAUCCGGUCUUCCUUCAUAAUAAUA